rnacentral:rRNA from 1 species
UACGUAGGGGGCAAGCGUUGUCCGGAAUCAUUGGGCGUAAAGAGCGUGUAGGCGGCUCGAUAAGUCCGCUGUGAAAGUCCAGGGCUCAACCCUGGAAGGCCGGUGGAAACUGUCGGGCUAGAGUCCGGAAGAGGCGAGUGGAAUUCCCGGUGUAGCGGUGAAAUGCGCAGAUAUCGGGAGGAACACCAAUGGCGAAGGCAGCUCGCUGGGACGGUACUGACGCUGAGACGCGAAAGCGUGGGGAGCGAACAGG